rnacentral:rRNA from 1 species
CAUUAAAAGCCGGUACCGCGAGCUGGGUUCCAGAACCUUCGUGAGACCAGUUCGGUCCCCUAUCCGUCGCGGGCGUAGGAAAAUUUUGAGAGGAGCCUGUCCCUUAGUACGAGAGGACCCGGGAUGGACCCCCCCGCUGGUGUACCCAGUUGUUCCGCCAGGAGCAUCGCUGGGUAGCUAUGUGUGGAUGAGAUAAACGCUGAAAGCAUCUAAGUGUGAAACUCGCCUCAAGAUGAGAUUUCCCAUUGCCUUCGGGCAAGUAAGACCCCUGAGAGAUGAUCAGGUAGAUAGGCUAGAAGUGGAAGUGUAGCGAUACAUGGAGCGGACUAGUACUAAUCGGUCGAGGACUUAACCAAG